GGGUAACCUGCCCUAUGCUGGGGAAUAACCUCGGGAAACUGAGAAUAAUGCCCCAUAGCCCACUACGCCUGGAACGGUGAGUGGGUCAAAGCUUCGGCGGCAUAGGAUGGGCCUGCGCCGUAUCAGGUUGUAGGGGGUGUAAAGUACCCUCUAGCCAUCAACGCGUACGGGUGUUGGGAGACAUUGCCCGGAGAUGGAUUCUGAGACACGAAUCCAGACCCUACGGGGUGCAGCAGGCGCGAAAACUUGGCAAUGCGAGCAAUCGUGACCAGGGAACUCCAAGUGCUUAGGGUAAGACCUAAGCUUUUCUUGACUCUUCAAAGGUCUUGGAAUAAGGGGUGGGUAAGGACGGUGCCAGCCGCCGCGGUAAUACCGGCGCCUCAAGUGGUAGUCGCUUUUAUUGGGCCUAAAACGUCCGUAGCCGGUCUGGUGCAUUCGUGGGUAAAUCAACCCGCUCAACGGGUUGAAUUCUGCGAGCACGGCCAGACUUGGGACCGGGAGAGGUGUGGGGUACUCUCAGGGUAGGGGUAAAAUCCUGUCAUCCUAAGAGGACCACCUGUUGCGAAGGCGCCACACUAGAACGGAUCCGACGGUCAGGGACGAAACCUAGGGGCACGAACCGGAUUAGAUACCCGGGUAGUCCUAGGUGUAAACGCUGUGGACUUGAUGUUGGGGGCGCUCCGAGCGCUUUCAGUGUCGAAGCGAAGGUGAUAAGUCCACUGCCUGGGGAGUACGGUCGCAAGGCUGAAACUU
rnacentral:rRNA from 1 species